rnacentral:rRNA from 1 species
UGCCGCCCUGAAGGGCGUAUGGUGGAUGCCUUGGCAGACAGUACCGAUGAAGGACGUUUGAGGAUGCGAUAAGCCUCGGGGAGCCUCCAACAUGGCUUCGAUCCGAGGAUUUCCGAAUGGGGCAACCCGCCGGCCGUCAUGGGCCGGCACGGAACCUUGUUGUUCCGGGGGUACGCAGGGAAGUGAAACAUCUCAGUACCUGCAGGAAGGGAUACUCCGUGAGUAGUGGCGAGCGAAAGCGGAUCAGACCAAACCAUGGGCGCGUGAUACCCGUCGGGGGUUGCGUCCGUGGUGUUGCGGGAGCGUGUGUCCCGGUUCCGACGGACCGGGCGGGAGUCAUAAAACGGCUUGCCAGGGGAACAGGCUUGAAGGCCUGGCCGCAGAGGGUGCCAGCCCCGUACCUGGAAGCUUGCCGUCUUCCGAUCACGUGUCCCAAGUAGCGCGGGCCUCGUGGAAUCCCGUGUGAAUCGGCCCCGACCGUGGGGUAAGUCUAAGCAUACCUGUCUGACCGAUAGCGUACCAGUACCGUGAGGGAAAGGUGAAAAGCACCCCGGGAGGGGAGUGAAAGAGUUCCUGAAACCGUGCGCCUACAAUCCGUCGGAGCCUCCUUGUGGGGUGACGGCGUGCCUAUCGAAAAAUGAGUCUGCGAGUCAGUGGUGCGUGGCGAGGCUAACCCGUCGUGGGGGAGCCGUAGCGAAGGCGAGUCUCAAAAGGCGUUUUGAGUCGCGUGCCCUGGACCCGAAGCGGGAUGAUCUAGCCCUGGGCAGGUUGAAGCGCGGGUAAGACCGCGUGGAGGACCGAACCCACCUGGGUUGAAAACCGGGGGGAUGACCUGGGGCUAGGGGUGAAAGGCCAAUCAAAUUCCGUGAUAGCUGGUUCUCUCCGAAAUGCAUUUAGGUGCAGCGUCGGUUGAUUGCAUCGCGGGGGUAGAGCUACUGGAUGCUUGCGGGCCCGUAUGGGGUACCAACAGCAGCCAAACUCCGAAUACCGUUGAUGUGUAUUCCGGCAGUGAGUCGGCGGGGGAUAAGCUCCGUCGUCGAGAGGGAGACAGCCCAGAUCGUCGUCUAAGGUCCCGAAGCGUGUGCUAAGUGGGAAAGGAUGUGGAGUCGCAUAGACAGCCAGGAGGUUGGCUCAGAAGCAGCCAUCCUUGAAAGAGUGCGUAACAGCUCACUGGUCUAGUGGUUCCGCGCCGACAAUGUAGCGGGGCUCAAGCACACCACCGAAGACGCGGCAGCGGCCUUUGUGGCCGCUGGGUAGGAGAGCGUCCCCCGAGGGGCGAAGCGGCGGCGGAAGCCGGCCGUGGACUUCGGGGGAGUGAGAAUGCAGACAUGAGUAGCGAGAGACGGGUGAGGAUCCCGUCCGCUGGAUGACCAAGGGUUCCGGGGCCACGUUCGUCGUCCCCGGGUGAGUCGGGUCCUAAGGCGAGGCCGACAGGCGUAGUCGAAUGGAUGAACGGGUGGAUAUUCCCGUACCGGCAGCGAACCGUCCGAACCGAACGGAUGAGUACUAACCUCCGGUCGCGUGGCGUCGUUCCCUUCGGGGUUCGGGGCGUGCGAUUGUUGGGAAUGUAGUCCUGGUAGGUUAGCGCACAGGGGUGACACGGAAUGGGAGCCGGCCGCGGAGGUGGUUUUCCGUGGUCAAGCACGCAGCCCGUCCCAUAGGCAAAUCCGUGGGACGUUGAGGGUGAGGUGCGAUGAUGGGCGCCUUUCAGGCGCGAUAUCCGGUGGUCCAGGCCGUCGAGAAAAGCCUCGGCGCGAGGGGCGUUGCCGCCCGUACCCCAAACCGACACUGGUGGUCAGGUAGAGAAUACCAAGGCGAUCGAGCGAAUCCUGGUCAAGGAACUCGGCAAAUCACUCCCGUGCCUUCGGUAUAAGGGAGACCCCUGAUGGUGAUGGAACUUGCUUCCGGAGCUUUCGGGGGUGGCACAGACCAGGGGGUAGCGACUGUUUACCAAAAACACAGGUGCAUGCGAAGGCGCAAGCCGCUGUAUAUGCACUGACGCCUGCCCGGUGCCGGAAGGUUAAGAGGAUCCGUCAGCCCUCGGGUGAAGCGGUGAAUUCAAGCCCCGGUAAACGGCGGUGGUAACUAUAACCAUCCUAAGGUAGCGAAAUUCCUUGUCGGGUAAGUUCCGACCUGCACGAAUGGCGUA